UCACUUACCUGGCAGGGGAGAUGCCAUGAUUAAGAAGGUGGUUUUCCCAGGGCAAGGCUUAUGCAUAGCACUUGGAUGAGCUGACCCCUGUGAUUUCUCCAAAUGUGGAAACACAACUGCAUAAUUUGUGGUUGUGGGGGACUGUGUUUGCACUCUCCACUG
rfam:Myotis davidii contig30592, whole genome shotgun sequence.